UUACGGCCACAUCACGUUGAAACAUCAAUUCCCGUACGAUCACCGAAGUUAAGCAACAUCAAGCCUGGUCAGUACUUAGAUGUGUGACCACUUGAGAAUAA